UACGUAGGGGGCAAGCGUUGUCCGGAAUUAUUGGGCGUAAAGAGCGCGUAGGCGGUCCGGUAAGUCGGCUGUGAAAGUCAAGGGCUCAACCCUUGAAAGCCGGCCGAUACUGUCGGACUAGAGUCCGGAAGAGGCGAGUGGAAUUCCCGGUGGAGCGGUGAAAUGCGCAGAUAUCAGGAGGAACACCUGCGGUGUAGACGGCUUACUGGACCACCACUGACGCUGAGGCACGAAAGCGUGGGUAGCAAACAGG
rnacentral:rRNA from 1 species